CUUACAGUGGCACCGGCCCUGCUCACAUCUGUUCUAAUAGAAAAGUUGUCAUCACCAGGACAAUUUAAAAGAGGGAGUUCUAGGGCAUAGGUUAUAAAGUGCCAAGUGGGGUGCUCUGUUGUUGCUCUGAUGUUCCAACUGUGUAUUUCCAUAGCUGUAAUUAAAACGGAUAGAUAAUACCUGAUGUUUUACUACUUAUCAACUAUUUAUAUAUAUAUGUCAUGGGUGGCAGUCCAGAGACCGGGACUCUUGUAUGCCUGAUGAUGAUAGGAGUCACAGCGUGGAAAUUGACGAUCAGGGCCUGGUGCUGGCUAACCACACGCCACCUAGUGUUGAGCACCAGCGUUUGUGCGGCCACAUACCAGGGCCCUGAUGCAGCUUCUGCAGAUCCCAGGUGCUAGAUGAGAAUAUGCAGACUUCCCAGGAUCUAGAUAGGGAGGCUCUGCAGCAGAUAUAUAUCCAAUACUAGAAACAAGGCAAGACUAGAAUAGGCACCAAACAAGAUAGCAAGACAAGACUAGAAGAAGCCAGAACCGGAGAAGGACAGAAAGCAGAACCCAUAACAUGUACACAAUACAUGAGGGAAACAUGAACAAGACAUGGACAGGGCACAACUCUGACCAUUUUUCUAGUUUACCUAAAUCAUUUGCCAUUUGACUUAUCCCUCCGUGUUGAAACAUCAACCCCACUACAUAUCUUAGUAUCAUCAGCAAAAUGACAUGCCUUACCAUCAAGACCUUCUGCAAUAUCACUAAUAAAAAUAUUAAAGAGAAUGGGUCCAAGUACAGAUUCCUGAGGUACC